ACUGUACUCCCUCCGUCCUGUUAAUUGUCAAAAUAUUACAUGUAUCUAGACGCUUUUAGGCAUAGAUACAUUCAUAUUUGGGCAAAUUUGAGACAAUUAAUAUGGGACGGAGGGAGUAGUAU
rnacentral:pre_miRNA from 1 species